AAGCAAAUAAUGAGAAAAAACCCAAGUAUCUUCCUCAUGGGGGCUUGAUGUGCAAUGGCUGCAAACAGCAGCCUUCUUGGUAGUGUAUGCAGCCUGUUGUCUGUAUAGGUUCCUCUAAGGGUCCUUGGAGACAUUC
ensembl:snoRNA SNORA70 Small nucleolar RNA SNORA70